GCUACACACGUGCUACAAUGGCGCAUACAAAGAGAAGCGACCUCGCGAGAGCAAGCGGACCUCAUAAAGUGCGUCGUAGUCCGGAUUGGAGUCUGCAACUCGACUCCAUGAAGUCGGAAUCGCUAGUAAUCGUGGAUCAGAAUGCCACGGUGAAUACGUUCCCGGGCCUUGUACACACCGCCCGUCACACCAUGGGAGUGGGUUGCAAAAGAAGUAGGUAGCUUAACCUUCGGGAGGGCGCUUACCACUUUGUGAUUCAUGACUGGGGUGAAGUCGUAACAAGGUAACCGUAGGGGAACCUGCGGUUGGA
rnacentral:rRNA from 1 species